AUGGCUUGUCCGUAUUUGCAAUGAUUCAGUAUCCGGCACUGCUCAUCCCAUUUCUAAAAAUGGUAUUGGAGAGUUACAGGGUAUUCAGAGGCGAAGGGAAUGACUGAAGAAUGCGGGGAAACACCUCUUCAUUUUGAGGCAAGGACUGGGUCUGCAGGUCAUCGUAGAGACUGCUGCAGAUCACUGCUUCUGUGUGCUUCUCCACUGCCUAAGGGACAUUCACCAAGACCAAAUCCAAGUAGUCUCUGCUGUCUGAGGUUCAUCUGCCCCAUUCCAAGGUUAAUUCAGGACUACAACAAUCCUUUCUCAGUGGUGUUCCUCUUAUAACUACCUACUAUGGCAUGGACACACCCUUACAUGGAGGAGGAGUGAUGAGGUGAAUGUGAUGCCAUGAGAACUACCCUCACUGCAUCCCUGUCUGUGCCUUCCCUACCAAGACCAGUCCACUGUGGGGGAAUCCCUACAGCCUCUCCACAGCCCUGUUCGGAGGCAUUUAUCUUUGUCCCAAAGUUAUCCUCUGAGUAACUUCACCAUCAAGGCCUUUUCAUUAUUAGCAGGCUCCUUUGAUUCACCAGCAUCAUAGAAUCAUAGAAUGACUUGGGUUGAAAAGGACCACAAUGAUCAUCAAGUUUCAAGCCCCCUGCUGUGUGCAGGGUCACCAACCACCAGACCAGGCUGUCCAGAGCCACAUCCAGCCUGGCCUUGAAUGCCUCCAGAUGGGGCAUACACAGCCUCCAUGGGCAACCUGUUCCAAUGCUUCACAACCUUCUGAGUGAUCAUCUAAAGCACAGUCAUUAGUUAGAAAAGACCCCUAAAAUUGUGUAGUCCAACUGCCAAUGCCCACCGAACCAUGCCCCUCAGAGCCACAUCUCCACAUUUACUGAACACCUCCAGGGACAGUGACUCCACCACCACCACUCCCAAAUCGCCUCCCAUUUCUGACCCUUCUCUAUCCUGAUGUGGGAGUAAGGGAGCCAAGACACAGCCUGCCCUUUGGCAUUUCCCUGCAGAAGGCUUCCCCUGCCCUGCCAGGCAGUGGCCAUGGGGCAGAGCACUGCUUCCCACACCUCCCUGUCUUCUUCUUACUCUUCAUUUCUUCUUUUUUUUUUUUUUUCUUUUUCUUUUUUUUUUCCCCGUCGUUGCUUUAAAGUGAGCACCCCAUCUAUCCGGAUACGGCUGCAGCUGCUCUAAGGACGUACAGCCCCACGCUGCCCGGAGGAAAAAAAAAAAA
ensembl:lncRNA